rnacentral:rRNA from 1 species
UGAGCCAAGUUUAGGGUUUCUCAAAACCCAAGCAGUAUUGAACUGAAGAGUUUGAUCAUGGCUCAGAUUGAACGCUGGCGGCAGGCCUAACACAUGCAAGUCGAGCGGAUGAAGGGAGCUUGCUCCCUGAUUUAGCGGCGGACGGGCGAGUAAUGCCUAGGAAUCUGCCUGGUAGUGGGGGAUAACGUUCCGUAAGGAACGGUAAUACCG